rnacentral:rRNA from 1 species
GUGAGGAAUAUUGGUCAAUGGGCGAGAGCCUGAACCAGCCAAGUCGCGUGAAGGAUGAAGGUUUUAUGAAUUGUAAACUUCUUUUGCAGGGGAAUAAAGUACGGUACGUGUACCGUUUUGUAUGUACUCUGCGAAUAAGGAUCGGCUAACUCCGUGCCAGCAGCCGCGGUAAUACGGAGGAUCCAAGCGUUAUCCGGAUUUAUUGGGUUUAAGGGGUGCGCAGGCGGGUUGAUAAGUCAGCGGUGAAAGUUUGCAGCUUAACUGUAAAAAUGCCGUUGAAACUGUCGGCUUGAGUGUAAAUGAGGUAGGCGGAAUGCGUGGUGUAGCGGUGAAAUGCAUAGAUAUCACGCAGAACUCCGAUUGCGAAGGCAGCUUACUAAGCUACAACUGACACUGAAGCACGAAAGCGUGGGGAUCAAACAGGAUUAGAAACCCGUGUAGUCC